rnacentral:rRNA from 1 species
CGGAGGGUGCAAGCGUUAUCCGGAUUCACUGGGUUUAAAGGGUGCGUAGGUGGGCAAGUAAGUCAGUGGUGAAAUCUCCGGGCUUAACCCGGAAACUGCCAUUGAUACUAUUUGUCUUGAAUACUGUGGAGGUCAGCGGAAUAUGUCAUGUAGCGGUGAAAUGCUUAGAUAUGACAUAGAACACCAAUUGCGAAGGCAGCUGGCUACACAAAUAUUGACACUGAGGCACGAAAGCGUGGGGAUCAAACAGGAUUAGAUACCCUGGUAGUCCACGCCCUAAACUAUGGAUACUCGACAUUUGCGAUAAACUGCAAGUGUCUGAGCGAAAGCAUUAAGUAUCCCACUGGGAAGUACGAUCGCAAGAUUG